CUACGGGGCGCAGCAGUGAGGAAUAUUGCACAAUGGGGGGAACCCUGAUGCAGCAACGCCGCGUGGAGGAUGACGCAUUUCGGUGUGUAAACUCCCUUUAUAUGUCAAGAAAAUGACGGUAGCAUAUGAAUAAGCACCGGCUAACUCCGUGCCAGCAGCCGCGGUAAUACGGAGGGUGCAAGCGUUACUCGGAAUCACUGGGCGUAAAGGACGCGUAGGCGGGUUGGAAAGUCAGGUGUGAAAUCCUACAGCUUAACUGUAGAACUGCACUUGAAACUUCUAAUCUAGAGUAUGGGAGGGGGAGAUGGAAUUAGUGGUGUAGUGGUAAAAUCCGUAGAUAUCACUAGGAAUACCUAAAGCGAAGGCGAUCUCCUGGAACAUUACUGACGCUAAGGCGUGAAAGCGUGGGGAGCAAACAGGAUUAGAUACCCCGGUAGUC
rnacentral:rRNA from 1 species